UGGCUUUAGAUUUACCUAUUCAAACCCUCAACUCAAAUACAACGCCUUUAAAAUAUACACAUAUCGGUUGGUGUGACGGGACGAGUGGUUAUUUUAUUACAAAGUUGUAUUUACAAUUAGUAAAAAGUAAAAAGAAACGGGAUUCUAGCCAGCAGCUAACACACUUUGUACAUGUAAACAAUGUAUGUCAGUGUUAUGGCCAUUUCGGAGGCACAGGGUUUACGUUAUGUACAUACGCUUAAUAGCAUGUUGUUGAGGGGUGCUGUAUUAUUUUUGAAGGGCGGAAUGCAAAGCAGUCGGAACCAUUUGAAUAAAUAUUUGUUGUAUUAGGGGUGCUGUGAUGAAGAGGCACUGGUUUUUUUUUGAACGGAAGAAUCAUUGCUGAUCUGACUGGACUUUUACCCUUAUAUGUUUUUAGUGUUACAUAGGUUUUACCUUUUUUAUUUUAGCAUGAUUGUUAAUUACAGUAGUAGCAGCUCUGAGGAGGAAACUGAAAACUCUACUAAAGAUGAUUCCUCACCUCCAAGAAAAAAAAGAAAACCUGACACUACUGAAACAAGCAGCAGUGAACCUUUGGAUCAUGGGUCUGCCAAAAGGACAAAAGAUAAGGCAACCCACAAAACACCUCGCCUACCUCUGCCUGAGAGUGUGAAGGAGAUGUUCAGAGAAUCAGAUGAUCAAUUGACUGAUAACAGUGAAGAGCAUGGAGGGCGAUUGCGGUCAUUCCAGCAUGAGCGGGGCAACUGGGCAACAUAUGUGUUCUUUACAUAUAACCCUGAGGACUCUUUCCUGGAGCUUCUCAAUGAAAUGAUGGUUGUCGCAGCAUCUCACGGCAUUCCUCUGACCCCGUCUGAAGAGUUCCACGUCAGUCUGUCAAAGACAGUGGUUCUGCGGCACCACUGGAUCCAGCCUUUCAUCCAGUCAAUUCGGACCAUGCUGACACCGUGCCGGAAGUUUUUCUGCAUGGCCGAUAAACUGAGGGUGUAUUCUAAUGCAGAAAAGACCAGGACUUUUCUUGGCUUGGAGAUCUCUAGUGGGACAUCUCAGUUGCUUGAGCUAAUCAAACUAGUGGAUGAAACUAUGAAGGAAUUCAACCUCAGCACCUUUUAUAAGAAAUACUCAGACCAGACCAUCUGGCACCAACAAUCAUGGCACGGUCCAAAUCACUGAGAUACAUUUUUUUUUUCCCAUACUGCUGGUUGAUGUGAACAUUAACUGAAGCUCCUGACCCAUGUCUGCAUGAUUUUUUUAAUGCACUGCCACAGUAUGUUGGUGAGUAUUUCAAACUGCAGAUCUCCUGGGAUUUUCACACACAAGUCUCUAGAAUUUUCUCAGAAUGGUGCCAAAAACAAAAAACAUCCAGUGAGCGGCAGUUCUGCAGAUGGAAACACCUCGUUAAUGAGAGAGGUCAACAGAGAAUGGCCAGACUGGUUCAAACCGACAGACUAUGGUAACUCGGUGCUAUUCUGAGAUGAGUGUUGGUGCUGUGGGACCUACACAAUAUUAGACAGGAUCCAUCUUUUCAUGUAAGCCUUGCCUGGAGUGUGGGUGAUCACACAGACAGACUGAAAAGUGCAUGUUUAUCAGAGUUGCAGGGACUUGUUGAUAGUCACGAGGAUGGUCC